rnacentral:rRNA from 1 species
AUUGAACGCUGGCGGCAUGCCUUACACAUGCAAGUCGAACGGUAACGGGCCUUCGGGUGCCGACGAGUGGCUAACGGGUGAGUAAUGUAUCGGAACGUACCUUUCAGUGGGGGAUAACGUAGCGAAAGUUACGCUAAUACCGCAUAUUCUGUGAGCAGGAAAGCAGGGGGUCGCAAGACCUUGCGCUGAUUGAGCGGGCGAUAUCAGAUUAGCUAGUUGGUGAGGUAAAGGCUCACCAAGGCGACGAUCUGUAGCGGGUCUGAGAGGAUGAUCCGCCACACUGGAACUGAGACACGGUCCAGACUCCUACGGGAGGCAGCAGUGGGGAAUUUUGGACAAUGGGGGCAACCCUGAUCCAGCCAUGCCGCGUGAGUGAAGAAGGCCUUCGGGUUGUAAAGCUCUUUCGGCCGGGAAGAAAUCGUAUCAGCUAAUACCUGGUGCGGAUGACGGUACCGGCAUAAGAAGCACCGGCUAACUACGUGCCAGCAGCCGCCGUAACAC